rnacentral:lncRNA from 1 species
CAGCAUUCCCACUCUAGGAAUGAGUCUAUCCCUCCCGAUCCCGUAGGUUUCUCGAUACCGCACGAGCGAACAUAAGUCUCAUAGGCCAACUCUGGAGUGCCGGCUUGUAGGGAGCGACCCUCACAAGCAUGUGCGAAUGAGCACAAAUGGCAAACAAGCGUAAUCAUCGUCUCAAGUACCCAAUCAUCAUGUCUCUAACAUGGUAAUAGUCACUAGCAUCUCAAUGAUCUAGCUCUAGGUCACAAUGUGAAGUUUCAAUAUUUACUAAGUUUAGUGCCCCUUUAUAACACUUAGACAUUUCGAUGUACAAGCAUGUUCCAAUUCUCUCAAUGGCCCUAUCCACUAGGUUCACACAUAACCCGAGCUCAAUGCCGCUUUAUGACAUUAGCUCACAAUUUCACAUGUCAAUCUAGUCCAAUGCCCCUUUAUGGCAUUAUAAUAAUUCCAUGUCCAACUAGGGUUUAA